AGUGGUGCACCACGAGUUGGUGAAGCUGCCAGCAUGAUCUGGUUAUGAUGGUGGUGGUAUAUGUAAGAUGGAUGUAAUCUAUACUACUACCGGCCCCUGUCACUCUCUCUCUCUCCCCCGUCCCUGACUGUCAUAUAUGGAUCGACGAAUCCAAGAUGAGAGGGGAAGGGAGAGAGAGAGAGGGUAAUUAAUGAGCACCAGGACCAGGUCAUGCUGUAGUUUCAUCUGCUGGUGGCCGCACAU
rnacentral:pre_miRNA from 1 species